UUUGCGAAAGCUGGAACGAGCGGAUGUGGAGUGACGGCGAACCGAUCGAUCCGUCGCCGACCAUCGAUCAGGCCGUAAAUGGAGGCUUCCCCUGGCUGGAGAUCAGGUGCGCGCGCUGCAAGACGCCGAGCGAGGUCAACCUCGCGGCGGUGAAGCAUCCGCCGGCCACCUUCGUGCACGAUCUCGCCAGCCGGCUGCGCUGUCGCAAAU
rnacentral:misc_RNA from 1 species